rnacentral:rRNA from 1 species
CCUACGGGUGGCAGCAGGGAGGAAGAUUGGGCAAUGGGCGAGAGCCUGAACCAGCCAAGUCGCGGGAAGGAUGAAGGAGCUAUGGGUUGUAAACUUCUUUUAUAUGGGAGUAAAGUGAGGAACGUGUUCCUUUUUGUAUGUACCAUAUGAAUAAGCAUAGGCUAACUCCGUGCCAGCAGCCGCGGUAAUACGGAUGAUGCGAGCGUUAUCCGGAUUGAUUGGGUUUAAAGGGUGCGUAGGUGGUUAUUUAAGUCAGCGGUGAAAGUUUGUGGCUCAACCAUAAAAUUGCCGUUGAACCUGGUGGACUUGAGUAUAUUUGAGGUAGGCGGAAUGCGUGUUGUAGCGGU